rnacentral:SRP_RNA from 1 species
GCUGGGUGUUGUGGCGAGCACCUGUAGUCCCAGCAACUCUGGAGGCUGAGGCAAGAGAAUCACCUAAGCCUAAGAGCUGGAGGUUGCUGUGAGCUGUGACACCAGGGCACUCUACCAAGGGCCACAAAGUGAGACUCUGUCUCAAAGAAAAAAAAAGAGAGACACAGUCUCACUCUAUCGCCCUUGGUAGAGUGCUGUGGCGUCACAGCUCACAGCAAACUCCAGCUCUUGCUUAGGCGAUUCCCUUGCCUCAG